rnacentral:lncRNA from 1 species
AGUUGCCUCCUUACAGAUUAUGUCAAUAUGGUCCUUCCAGAAUUAUCACUAUACUUCCAAUUGUCCUUGAGUAACCAAUCUUUGGUAAACCUUAGAUUGUCCUCGACAAUUGUUUAAUCCUUUUAGUCAUAUCCAGUUCUAAACCUUUUCCCUUCUUAAUGCCCCAGGCAUUUGGAAAAUUUUAGAACGGAUGAAUAUAGCACAUGUAAUCGAUCCUAUAUCCGAAGCAUAUGGGACACGAUUCAUGAUGUCUUACAUAAAGACUAAACCAGUCUUUUGCUAUAAUAUUUCCAUUUCAAUUUGCCAAGUUCUCAUAAUUCAGAUUAUGAAAAGGGAUGCCGUAAUCAUAAUCGAAUUUUAGAACGCAAAUAAUGGACCCAUAUACAGAAUUUCCUUAUGUUGAGCCAUUCCAACAUGAAAUUCAUAUAUAUCCUUGACUAAAUGAUUAAAACCUCACGAUCUAAGCUUAUAGAUUUGAGAUGAAGCAUAAUUUCCUCUCCCUUAAUUAUAGCAAAACAACUUUUUCCCAAUUGAAACUUUUGUUUUCUAUAAUUAACAUUGCUAACUUGCAAUACUUAUCAUAAUUAUCAUGCUCCCACUAACAUGAUGAUUAUUAGCAUAACACUUAUGCUCCCACUAGCUUUGACAUGUACUCAGAAAUCAGCUGGACAGUCUGAAAUUUAGAUUCAUACACCCUUUCCGUAGAUAGCUCACCUGUGUGUCUAAGCAAUUUCAAGAACCAUGAAAAGGGAUACCGUAAUCAUGGUCUCAAUUGCUUAGGCAUUUGCCAUUUCUCACAAGUCCAUGUUAGUGUGCCGGUUAACCACACGCGCUCCACUAACGACUUUUGAAAAUGCAAAUAACACAAUUGAUAUCUUCGUAAAAUCUACUUAGUGAAAGCGUUUCCUCACCAUCAUUUUCAUGAAUCGGAGAGAAACCUUAUGACACUUAGAUUUAUAUGGUGUAUGAGUUCCUACCCAUAUGAAUUUGUCAAACCAUAAUCACAAGACAAAGAUAAUGACAAAUCCAAAACCAUAUGGAUUGAACUCAAUCUUAACUUCUUGCCACCUGGCAGCUCAAGGGCCUGCCAUUGCUUCCAAGUUGUUAUGCAACAAACUGAGAACUCUAAGAACUCAUAUGCAAAGCCAACUUUAACUGGAAUGGGCACAGAUAUGUCAACACGAUAGGUUAUAAACCUCAAGUCGUGUGCUAGUGAAGAACUUUAGGUUUUAUUCUUGAUUAUUUCUUGAGACUUUCAAGACCUUUAAGACUCCCACUGUCCUCUUGACAUAUAAGACUCCCUUGUCAAACAUCCAAGAGAUAGUGCGGAUUCUAAUCAAGAAAAACACUUUACCCAAUUGGCCUAAGUUGGUCUUUGUUUUAUCCAAAACAUCACAACUUACCAAUUUCAAAUGUACAAGAGUAGAAAACUUUUACUCUUACAUUUGACAAGUGUUUUAAACCUUCUUUAAGACAUGUCACUCAAAUGACAAUCUUGGAGUAUGACUCUAAGACUUGUAUUGGAACGAAGUAUGACUCAUCUUCUUGAUUUAACCAUUUCAACAAUUCAAGUUCCUCUUCUUAGUCAUAAGAAUGCACUAAGAUUUCCUUAGAGAACUAAUUUUGAUAUGGUUUCUUAAUCAUUAAGAUGAUCACAAAACUGAUACUAAAGUACUCUCCCAUCUUUUCAGAUUUGAGAAACUUUUAUCCUUCUGCCUUAUUUGAUUCUUCUUAUCGAUCUUUAGUGGUGGACUUAAUCAGUGCACAAGAAUGUGUACUCGAUCCCUAAGUCCUUUACUUGACUCACACAUCCAUGUGAACAAGUAAUUAGUCUUAAUUUUCCAAAACUUGAAAGUUCUCAUUCAUCAUGCUAUACAACUUGCAUGAUUCCAAGUUCCGGUCCAAUUGAAACUUGGGUGAUGAGAAUCUUUCCUUAUUUGGUAAAUUUAGACAUUACCACAAAUGAAAGAAUCAAUUUCAUAUUUCCACUCUUGCUCUUAAUGGAAUCAUAUAAGCAACAAUUUUUCCUCAAAUGCCAUUGUAAGGAUAUUUUAAAAUAAAUAAAAUAUAAAAAAUUUUCUUUUAUUUUAAAACUUUGCGGAAAAACUUAUCCUUACAAUCCAUAUGAAAACUUGUUGUUAUCUAUUCCUAAGCAAUAUCUCAUAACUCCUAAGAAGUAGCUCAAGAAUCCGAUCUUCAAACUAUGCGAUAGAAAUCCAUCUACGCCAUCAGAUUCAGCAUAUUCUUUCUUUAAGUUUCUUCACUUUUCUUUGAUUCUUAAAACAUCACCAUGUGACCCAGUCACAUCAUGUAUCAAGAAUCUCAGAAUAGAAACUUAACAGAGUUAGAUAGUGGACUUUACCUGAAGUAGAGUCAAACUUAUUGACUUUAACAUCCUUAGGUAAAUUUGGCAGCUUCGCAACCAAUGCCCCUUCCUUUGGCAAUAUAAACAUAUGGACCCUUUGAUAAUGGUACACGGGACUAUCACAGACUUAGCUUUUCUCUUUACCAUUUGGUCAACCGAGUUGACUAUGGCCGAUCCCUUUCCAUUGGGAAGAGAAUGCUUUACUGGAUAUCCAAUGUCAUCAUUGUCAAUGUCCAUAAAGUUUUAGGAAGUUGAUCUUAGCAAAUAGAUAAGAUCAUUAAGGGUCUUGUCAUAGUCUGUUUCAUAGGUGUCCCAAAGGAACUCACUAUGUGACUUAGAAAGUGGUUGAACCACCAACUUUCUCAAGACUUUGACACCCAACUCUCCCGGCUUGUCAAUAUGUGACUACAUCUCCAAGAUGUGACCACACCUAGACCUUGCCUUGCCAAUAGGGCCUGAGUGACCUUAAACUUUUCAAGAACUUGUGGGUUAGGGAGAAUAAUUUGAAGAGGUGAAGAAGUAUGAUAUCCAUGGGACAUCAUCUUCAUUAGGAAACCUUGUUUCAAGAGAUUUGGGAAGAUCAUAGGUGUCUAAACCAGACAUCUUUUGGGAGAUAUUCAAGAUAGUUGAUUUAAAGUCCUUAAUAUGACACCCAAUAUGAAAUAUUAAGGCUAGGACCCAACAAACUAUUUUAUAACUUAGAAGAGGUAUGCCGUAAUCCAAGCUAUAAAAUAUUUGAAGGUAGGUGAAUGACGAUUCACCAAUUUCCACCAAGAUAAACGAAAUGUAUUAUUAGGUUUUAAUUGGUUUUGAAACUCCUAGAUCUUUGAGAUUCAUUGAACUUUUCAAAGGCAUGUUUCAAUCUCGAGUGUGCCCUUCAGGUUUUGUGACUGGGAUGCCGAGGAUCACAAAACAAGGUGUGAAGUAACCAUGCAAAUCACUUGGUACCCUUAAUAAAUUACCCCUCAAUCGAUGUGCCGGUUAACCACACACGCUCCAUCGAUACUAUGAUAAAUAUUAAGUCACCCUUUACCUACCUUGUUAAGUCCAAGUUAGUGUGCCGGUUAACCACACACGCUCCACUAACGACUUAGACAAAGUGUAAAGUGUAAUUUCAUGGAUUAGCACCUUAUUCACAUUUUUCCUAAGUAACUAAGAUUGGGUAUUAUUAAGAGUUUAGUUACUUAGUAUUAUCAUUAAUACUUUUAAUGAAGGGAGAAUUCUAGUCCUGUCAAACCCGUUCGGCUAACGACCCUCCACCAGUCAAGCAAGCGGUGGGUGAGAGUGGACACCCAUUAAGUUGCCAUUUUAUAGGCAACAACCUUAUACCCACCUUAUAGACCGGCUUCGUGAAUGAGGCGUACUAGCGGUAAGACUGACUUUACUCUUAUACAUAUAUAUAUUAUUAACUUAUAAUAUUAUAAAGUAUAAGGGUUGAAUUUUAACUUUUAAAAUUCUAAGGGCUAACUUGGAAUUAAAGUAUUCAUACUUGAAAACUUUUCAAAUUCCAAAACUUGAGGGCAAGUUUUGAAACUAUUCAAAACUAAUUAAUUCCAUAACUUAUGUGUUUAAAGUAGUUUUAAUCCAAAAACUCUUCAAGUUCCAUAACUUGAGGACAAGUUAUGGAAGACUUUAAACUAAUAAAAGAACUAACUUUUUCUUUAUUUUAUAACUUAUGGAUUUAAUUAUGGUUACAUAUUUUUCUUUAAUGAAGUGACUCUUGAACUUCCAUAACUUGAGGACAAGUUAUGGAGUCAAAAAAAAUUAUUCAAUGACACAAGACUCUUCAUUUUGUAACCAUUGCCAACUUUUAUGAGUUUUAUGAGUCUUUAAUGUGACUCUUCAUGUAACUUGAGGACAAGUUACACAAACACAUUUUAUACUCAACUCUUAGAUUAAAAUGGAUUGAAAACAACUAUUUCACUCAACAUUUCUAUUAAUCUAAGCAACUCAUAAGAACAAGAUAAUUCAAAUCAAACUUUUUCAUGUAAUUAGUCUAAACCUUAAACUAAUACAAAACAUGAAUCUAUUGACAAUUAUCUUUGAAAAUGGAUUAGCAUGAACAUUACCACAUCAAAAACAAGUUUAUAAGUUCAAAAACAACUUAGGGUAAUGUUCCUAGUCCAUUUCUAGCCAAAAAAACUCGAAAAUAUGCUGUCUGGGGGUCCAACUCGUCGAGUGCAUGAACCAACUCGGCGAGUUGGAUCGAAUUGAUCACAUUUUAGGCAUGGACUCGCCGAGUCCUCUGAUGGACUCGCCGAGUCUGAUGAUCAGACAGCACCAAAUUCGUUUUUUCAGCUUCUAUUGCAGGUAUAACAAGAAAACAAGCCUAGGCUCUGAUACCACUGUUGGGUUUUGAGCAUUCUAACACUCCUAAGUGUACAUGCAACCCUAAAUACCUUGGAUCUAUGUUUUCUCUAUUAUACAUGCAAAUAAGAACUUCCAAGGUAUUAUCCUAAUCUAGCAUACAAAACAAUGAGUGUAACAAGAUAGAAUACAUACCUCUUUGAUGUAGAAAGUCUUCAUGAAGCUUGAGUGCCUAGCCCCAAUAGUGUGGAAGCCUCAAAUGGAAUCACAAUCACCAAAACACUUAGAAUAACUUGAGAGAAUUCUACAACUCAUGAAAUCGGCUAGCCCUUUCACUUCACACACUAGUGGCCGAUUUUGGUCAAGAAUAAGAUGCUUAUAUAGUUAGGGUUACACCAUGUAAACCCUAAUUGACAUGGCCUUUCAUUUCCAUGAUCCAUGGGUACAAAUACACCAUGGAGCAUCCAUGGACCAUCCUAUGGGUUUUAGCCCAACUUGAUUAUCCAUGGAGCAUUAGCCCACUAUACAAGUAUGGAUGAUUUACACAAUCAACCCAUAUAUUUAAUUAGUCUUCUUUUGAUCACUUAAUUAAUCCUAGAUUAAUUCUUGAUCAAUACUAAUUAAAUAAUCUUAUUAUUCUUAUUAUUAAUAUACUAGAACUUAUAAUAUAUUAAUAACCAUAAGUGUCUUAUUUCUCUCAUUAUAGUCUAUCCAAGUGCAUGAUGGUAUGCAACCCAAAUGGACCAUGCCGGGUCGGGUCAAGUCUUACCAAUUAUAGUUAUGGACUUAGACAUUAAUCCAACAGUAUCUACAUCAAAUGUAUAUGGGUUAUCUUGCAUAUAUGUCUCACACCUAGGUUGGGAUGGAGGUUUCGGUUUCGGUCGUACCUGUUGUGAGAGAGUUUGUUGAUGUGUUCUUAGAGGAGUUACCCGGUGUGCCUCAUAAGACCCAAGUUGAGUUCAGGAUCGAUUUGGUCCAGGUGCGGCUAUGAUUGCUAAGGCGUCAUACUGAUUGGUACCACCAGAGAUGUCAAAGUUGUUCUCAUAGCUUUAGGAGUUGUUGGGCAAUCAUUUUAUUAGACCGAGUAGUUUGCCGUGGGGAGCACCGAUUUUGUUUGUCAAGAAGAAUGACGGUUUACAUUGGAUGUGUAUCGAUUACUGGGAGUUGAAUAAGUUGACGGUGCAGAACUGUUACCCACUUCUACAGAUUGAUGACCUCUUCCAUCAGUUUCAGGGUGCAUCUUGGUUCAUCAACAUCGAUUUGAGACCAGGGUAUCAUUAGAUGAGGGUGAGAGAUGAGGAUGUGGAGAAGACCGCAUUUCAGACUCGCUAUGGUCAUUAUGAGUUCGUGGUGAUGUCGUUUGGGCUCACCAAUGCUCCAGCAGCAUUCAUGGAUUUAACGAAUCAAGUGCUUAGGCUGAGGCUCAAUCGUCCAGUCAUUAUUCAUAUCAAUGAUAUCCUGGUCUAUUCCAAGACCCAAGAGAAGUAUGAGGAGCACCUUCGGGAGCUUUUGGGAGUAUUGAAGCGAGAAUGGCUUUAUGCCAAGUUCUCGAAAUGUGAUUUUUGGUUUCGGGAGGUCUAGUUCUUGGGGCAUCUCAUUAACCAUAAAGGAAUCUUGGUUGAGCUGGCCAAGAUUGAGUUUGUUAUGCAAUGUGAGGUUCCAAACUCCCCAUCAGAGAUCAUGAGUUUCUUGGGAUUCACAAGGUAUUAUCAGAAUCAUUCAAGAUUUAUUCUAUAUUGUUGUACCCUCACUCUUCUAAUGAGGAACGGCAUAGAUUUCUUCUGGGGGCCUGAGCAGUAGGCUUCAUUCCAAACUUUGAGGUAGAAGUUAUAUGAGGCUCUAGUGUUGAUCCUCCCUGAGGGUGUUAAGGAUUUCGUAGUAUUUUGUGAUGCAUCCAUCACCAGCCUGGGGGCAAUUCUUAUACAAUGAGGGAGGGUAAUUGCUUAUGCUUCUCGACAAUUGAAGUCGCAUGUGGUUUGUUAUCCAAAUCAUGAUUUGGAGUUGGGAUCAGUGGUGUUCGCUCUCAAGAUUUGGCGGCAUUGUCUAUAUGGGGUCCAUUGUACCAUCUACACAGAUCAUAAGAGUUUGAGAUAUCUCAUGGAUCAUCCGAAUAUUAAUAUGAGGCAGCGCAGGUGGCCUUGACAUGGUCAACGAUUAUGACUGUGAGAUUUUGUACCACCCGGGGAAAGUGAAUGUGGUUGCUGAUGAUUUUCAAGACGACUACUUUAGUUGUUGGGAGACUUUAUAUGUGGAUUUCAAUUGAUUCACCAUUAUUAGGAAUGAUUAGAGAGCCUCGGGUUGGGAUUCAAUAAAGAAAACUGGAAGGAAGAGCGCAUCAGAGGUGAGAUUGACAAGUUUUCUACCAACAACCGAGGAUUAUUGACCCGGUAUGGUCAAUUAUGGGUUCUUGAUUUUGGUGGGUUUAGACAGGCUAUGCUGGAGGAGGCAAACAAGUCCAGAUUUUCAAUACAUGUUGGAGCCACCAAGAUGUAUUGGUAUUUGCAACUCAGUUAUUGUUGGCCAUGCAUGAAACGAGAGACAACCUGAUAUGUCGAUCGAUGUUUGACCUGUUGGAUGGUCAAAGCCGAGCACCAGAGGCCACAUGGCAGCUUCAGCCUUUGGAGCUUCCCAUGUGGAAAUGGGAACAUGUCACCAUGGAUUUCAACACCAAGUUUCCAAGGAUAGCUAAGGGGUUUGAUGCAAUCUGGGUGAUAGUGGACUGGUUGACCAAGAGUGCCCACUUCUUAGCUAUUUGUGAGAACUCGUCAGCAGAGAAAUUUGUCGAUGUUUAUGUGCACAAGAAUGUCGCUCGACACGGUUUCCUAUUUUCUAUUGUAUCGGACCAGGAUGCUCGGUUUACUUCGCGGUUUUGGCAAAACUUCCACGAGGAACUGGGUAUGAGGUUGCACUUUAACACUGGUUAUCAUCCGCAAACGGAUGGUCAGAGCAAGCAGAGCAUUCAGACACUCGAGGAUAUGUUACGAGCCUAUUUGAUUAUUUCGGUGGGAAUUGGGAGUCCUACCUUCCCCUAGCUAAAUUUUCUUACAAUAGCUAUCACUCCAGUACCGAUGCACUGCCAUUCGAGCUUCUCUUUAGGAGGAAGUGUCGUACCCCAGUAUGUUGGGGAGAUGUUGGUCAUAGAGUUAUAGGGAGGAAUGAGGUAGUCCUUCAGAAGACAAAGAUUAUUCAGCAGAUUAGGCAUAUGCUACAUACAACUAUGACUUUGAAGAAGAUUUAUGCCGACAAGCGUCGAUCUGAGUUGGAGUUCCAAGUCAGCGAUAUAGUUUUGUUGAAGGUAUCACCCUGGAAGGGUGUAAUACACUUCAGGAAGAGGGGAAAGUUUUGGCCCCGGUAUAUUGGGUCAUUUCAAGUGAUUUUCAAGGUUGGCAAGGUAGCUUACAGACUGGAUUUACCUGAGGAGAUCAAUCAGAUCCACAAUACCUUCUAUGCCUUGCAUCUUUGGAAAUGUGUGGCUGAUGAUUCAACGUUUGUUGCUUUGGAGGAUGUUCAGGUUGAUGAUUGCCUGAAUUAUAUUGAGAUACCAGUGGCAAUUUUGGAUAGGAAGACGAAGGCCUUGCGCAGCAAGGUGGUGUAUUUGGUUAAGGUUCAGUAAAAGGAUCGAAGGGGUUCCAAAUAGACAUGGGAACCUGAGUCAGGGAUGCGAGAGCAUUACUCUGAGUUGUUCUCAGUAGCGGACUUCAGGGAGGAAGUUUAGUUCAAGUGGGGGAGAACUGUAACAUCUUGAUGUUGAUGUAUUUCCAUUUUUAACCCUAAGUAUGAUAGUUAAAUUAAUUUUAGUCCUUGUGUCAAAGAAUUGUUGCAAAAUGACCCUAUAGUGGCAUUCUUGUAAUAUUUAGGCGAAGCAUACAUACGAUGGGCGUACACUUCAUACGUACAUGUCAAAUCCUCAAACCCUUAUAUUUAGGGUUUGGACCCUAUUUAAGCAUUCUUAUGUCCCAACUUCUCCUCCUUUCAUCAACCUCCAACACCAACUUCAACCUUUGCAAACCCUAAUUUGUAUUUGAGCUAUAUUGAGCCAUUUGUGGGUGUUUAUUGAGCUGUUUAUAGGUGUUGUGGCGCUCUUAUAGGAAGAAGAAGGAGAAGAGAACAACCUAAAAGCUUGGAACAACCUUAGAUCAGGAAGUGUUGCACACUCCUACAUCUCUAGAAGGUAUAAAGUUCAUACCUUGAUGAGUAUUUGGUUAGAUCUUACUUGUAUCAUGUUAUUAUGUGCUUUUGUCCCCAAUCAAAGAUGUUGUUGAGUAUGGCAUGCUCUAGACCCAAAUGGAUUGUCCUUCCAGACGUUUUGGAGUGUCUAAGGUCAUAAAAAUGCAAUCUUGAUUGUUAGUUUUCUUCCAUGCAUGGGUUAUAUUGUCUUAAUGGGUUAAGAAGUUAGGGUUUUUGCUUUUGGGAACUUAUUAGCCAUGCAAAACCAUAAAGUUGGCAACUUUAUAGUUUAGGACGUUAGUUGUGGACUAGAUCUGGGAUUAGGACCAACGAGCUUAAGGAUUAAGAACUUAAUAAGAAGGAAAAUUGGUUAGGUGCGUAGGUCGUGAGUACAAGAGGGUACUCUUGUACAUGCUGAGAAUGCCCAAUGUACUCAACUGUUUUGACCAAGUUUGACUUUUUGACUUUGACCAAGUUUGACCAAAGGGUAUUUUGGGUAUUUUGAGUUAUAUUUGAGAUUGGUCACUAUUUGAUGAAUAGGUGACGGCUAGAGCAGAUAUUUGGAGCAGAGAUUUAUUCAACUAUUUGAUUGGAUUGAGAGGUGAGUUUUCCUCACUGUACUUGUAGAUCGAAGGCACCAAUACCGGCCCACUGAGUUAUGAAUCCUGUUUUAGGAGAUGUUUCUGUGUUGUAUUGAUCGAUUAGAAUUGAGUCCUGGUAUGUAGGAUGUUGUCAUUCGGUAGCAAUUUGUAAAUCUGUCUGUAAAUAUGUUGAUUGAUAUAUGAUUGACUGUUUUAUGAAUAUGUUUGUUAUUUGUUAUAUGUCAACAUAGUAUGGUUGGGUUGAGACUAUAUUGCUUUGUGCCGUCAGUUAACAAACCCGGGACAAUCCAAUCGGAAUGUUGUGGGCCAGGGUAAGCCAACCGAAAGGUUGUGGACCCAACAUGUGUUACGUAUAUUUGUUUUGUUGUGCUAUAUGGUACUUUGUGGCAACUCACUAAGCUUUGGCUUUCAAUUUUAAUUGUUGUUUCAGGUACUUUAGAUGAUUGUGAUAAGGCGAAGGCAUGAUCGUACACAUCUUUAGAAGAUAUCUUUUGGGAGAGUUUAGGAUGUUCUGAUCUUGGGGAAUAUUUGUAUUUGACACUUGACUUGAUAUGGAUUUGGGUAUGAAAAUAAUGGUUUCUUUUAAUUUAAAAAUGAAAAUUUUUAUUGAAUUUUUGGGAUGUUACAAAAAUGAGCUCAAAAUGAUUGAAAUGAGGCUAUGGUUUGAUCCUUUACACUUGGAGGUGAUGGAGACUGAGGGUGAAUGAAACGCUAGCCAUCAUAUUCCUUACAUAGGGCCCAAGGCUCGAGAUAUAGGAUUUUGAGCCCCAACUGCCACCAUGUCAUGGGAAGGAACUUACCACGCCAUGGUGAUUAAAUGACCACCACAUCGUGGUCUGGGAAUUGCCACGCCGUGGGAAUGAAAAAUCCUAAAGUCACAAUGUUUUAAAGUACGAAACUCAUACCUGAAAAAUCGUGUGUUACAACUCUCAUCCACUUGAAUCAAAUUUUGUCCUUGAACUCUACUUCCACAAAUAACUCGAGAUAAUGAUCUCUCAUAUCCUCUUUGGGUUCCCAAGUCUAUUCAAAACCCUUCUAAUGCUGCCAUCGCACCUUAACCAAAGCCACCACCUUCUUGCGCAAGGCCUUCCUCUUUCUCUUAAGAAUAACUAUCAUUCGCUCCACAUGAUUCAAACGCUCAUCAAUCUAAAUGUCAUCCAAUGGUAAUACUAUGGAAUCAUCUGCUAAGCACUUCCACAUUUGGGAAACAUCAAAGGUAUUGUAGAUCUGACUAAGCUCCACAAGUAGAUCUAACAGAUAAGCAACCUUUCCUACCCGGACAAUAAACUCUAAAUGGACCGAUGUAUUUGGGGAACAACUUUCCCUACUUCAAGAAUCGGAUGACACCUUUCCAAGGUGAUACCUUUACAAGAACAAAAUCCAUAACCAAGAAAUCAAGAUCGAAACAAUGCUGAUCAUCAUAACUCUUCUGAUGACACUAAAAGGUUUGCAAUUUAUGUCACAGUGUGGUGAAGAGGUCACCAUGAUGUGGCUAUUAGAUUAAGGUGUCUAUGCUCAUAACUAAAUUGAUAUAUUCUUAUAAUGAGAAGAAAAGUCCUUUUGGGUUGCUCUCAUGACCAAAAAUAGUUAGAAAUGAUAUUAGGAGAGAGGAGUAUAAUUUAUUAGAUUAUUAUAUGAUUAAUAAACUAAUUGAAAAUUAUGGGAAAAUGAUUUGUUAGUAUAUUAUGUGAUUAAUAUAAUAACUGGAAAUAGAUAGUUGAUUUGUUGAUUUAUUAUGUGGUUAAUAAAUUAAUACGAGAUUAGUUGUAAAUAAUUUAUUUGUUAAUUUAUAUGAUUAAUAAAUUAACAUGAAAUCAAUUAGAACUGAUUAAUUAUUAAUCAGAAUUAAUCUGGAAUUAAUACGGGAUUAAUUGAAAUUAAUUGAAGGUGGAAAGGGUGAAUUAUAAUUGUUCAAUAGUUGAACAAAAGAAGAAAUUCUAGAAUCCUCCAUGGUAUCGAUGGCUAAGGAGUGUUGCCUAAGGUUUCUGGAAACCUGUUGGUUGCAUAAAAGUAAAUAAUUUGAAUUAGGAUUUAAUAUAUUAUUUAAUUAAGUCAAAUCUUAUUUUGUCUGCAAGUUACCUAAAGUAUAAAUAUGACCCCUUGGCUUGAAACUUUUGCUCACCACAUUAACUAUAAGCAUAGGAAUGAAAUUUCCCUCAUAUCUCCUCUCUCCUCCUCAUUCUAGGGUUUCUGUUUUUGGGUGUGAUAGAUUAGAGGCAUCAUCAUUUUGGUGCUAGCUUUCUAAGACCAACAAAUAGAAGAGAUUGAAGUGGUUUGUUUGAUACAACAAAUCAAAGGUAUGUAACCCUAAUCCUAUGUAAAUUUCGAAUAUAAUAGGUUUCCCUUAGGGUUUUUGAUGUUCAUUUUUAUUGCUAUCAAUUAGAGAAAACAUAGAUCCUUUAUAAGUCGGAUGUGAACUUAAGGGAUAAGAUUUUCACUUCAUAUGUAUUCGAUAGCCUAUAAAACCCUUUAGUGGUAUCGUACCCGUUGUUUUCUAUUGAUUGUGCAUGAUAUGAGUGGAUUAAAAAAUUAGGGUUUAUUGAAAAUAAACCCUAUCCGUUUGAAAAUUUCAACUUUGGUAGGGUUUCUUGAAACCCUAGCCACCACUCCUUAUUUUCGAAAUUACCUUAGGGUUUAGGUUUUCUGGAUUACUUAAUUAUUACUUUAAAUGCCUUAAAAUUAGAAUAAUAAAAAGUCAGUAACCCUGUUCCCUAAUUUUUGAAAAUUAGAAGGUUAUAGGAUUUAAUUUGAAUUAAGUAAUAGUUUAAUUGAAAAUAAUCAUUUAAUCCCUAAAUGAUCUAAAUUAAUUUAACUAUAAGAUAAAUAUUAAAUCAUAAUUGGUUUAAAUUUAAUUAAUUAGAAGUUUAAUAACUAAUUUUAAACCUUUUAUUUUGAAAAUUUUUAAAAUACACCAUAUAUAUAUAUAUAUAUAUAUAUAUAUAUAAUGUUAAUUACUUUAUGUAUAAAUUGAUUAUAAAUCGAUCGAGGGUGUUUUGAGCGGGUUUGCAUGGUUAUUCACAUCUUAAUUGUGAUCCUCGACAUCCUAGUCUCAAUUGGUUAGAUCAUAAUACGCGAUUAAACAUGCCUUUGAUGUUUUAAUGAAAAUCUCAAAAACUCUAGGAGUUUCAUAUGAUUGAAAUUGGUAAAAUGUUUCUACAUACCUAAAAUAGUUUCAUGAUAUGACUAUGACAUCCCUCUUCAUAUUACGAAAUGAGAAUACGGAUCCUAGCCUUAAUUUAAUUUUUGGGUUAAUAAUUGAGGAUUAAAAUCAACUAACUUGAAUUCUCACUUCUCCCAACUUUAAAUGUCUUAUUAAGAGAUAAAUGGUCUUCCUCGUUCUUGUGGAAAUGGUUUUCCUCAAUCUUCUGGAGAUGAUCUUCCACAUUCGAUUCAAUGUGGAAUUGUUUUCCCUUCCUUAGGAAAUGGUGGAAUAGAACAUUGUCCUCCUUCAACGCUUCCACCUACUCCUCAUGAAACUCUCCUAACGUCACGUUUUCCUUGAGUUGAGAGAUAUGAAACAACUCAAGCCCUAUUGGCAUAUAAACACGAAGAUGAAAUUCUUUGGGUGCGCAUGUUCUGAAAAUGAAACUAUAUUCCCGAUGGAUCAAGCCAUUGAUUUGGUUCUUAUCUCACUUCCUAAGUCACAUGGUAAGUUCGUUGAGAAGAUUCAUAUAAGGAAUCUCGAUGUGACCCUAAUUGAUUUAACCCAAAUGUUGGCAGUUGUUGAAGCAAAAAAUGCUUAAGGACACAACUAAAGCAGAAAUUUUUAUAGGGUCUAAUCUAAAGGUAUCCAGGGACAUUGACAAUGGUAAUAUUUGUGAUCAAGCAAAGGUUUCUCUUCCCAAUCAAAAGUGGUCGGCCAAAAUCAAAUCGUUUGAUCGUAUGGUAAAGAGAAAGGAUCGUUUUGAGAUCAUUCCAUAUGUUGACCCCAAUGAGUCCAUUUGUUUCUACUACCAAUUUAAGGGACAUUAGAAGCAAAGCUGCCCAAAAUACUUGAAGGGUCUUGAAGAUGGUUAAGUCAAUUCACGUAAUGCUACUUUAGGCACAUGAAUUAUCUAACUUUGCGGGUUCCUAUUCUUAGGAUCUUAAUAUAUGAUGUGAUUAUCACAUUUUGAUGGUAUUGCAGGAUCUAAAAGAAAAAAGGAAGCAUAAGAAAAAGUGAGCUAAAUCUAAUUCAGGGAAAUGAACUUUCAUCGCGUGGUUCGAUGGUCAGAAUUCGGAGCUACUAUUAAGGAGUUAGGAUAGUUUUAAUAGAUUUUUAUUACUCGUAGAUGUCUAGAAAUAUAGUUUUUCAUCUUAUGCAUUAUAAGGACAAGUUCCAAUUUUACAUUUAGCAAUAAAAUGAAGUUUUGGUUUAUGAAGUUGCCUUAUUUGUAUUUCAUCAAAAUGUCAUUUAUGAAAGUGUUGAUUAUGUUUCUAAUAAUGCAAAUAUUAAUGGUGGAUAUUGAUUCUUCAAGAAUGUGCUUAUGACAAUCAUUUUUUACCAAGUGAAAAACAAAUCUCAUCACCAAGUUUCAGUUGGACAGACACUUGGAGGCAUACAUUUCGAAUUGCAUGAUGCAUGAGAAUCUUGUUCAUUGGAAAAUUAUGAUUAAUUCGUUGGUCACAUGUUGAAGUCAUGUAAGUGAAGGACUAAUAGAUCUAGUACAUGUUGAUAUGAACUAUUCAAAUCCAUCACAAACGACGAUAACUCUAUUCUUCAAGAUUUAUUGAUGCUUCAGAAAAUAUGAUUAUGUUUAUAAGAUUAAAAAAAUCUAAUACUUUUGAAAGGUUAAAAGAGUUGCAGAAUGAACAGAAGCAUCUAUUAGGCCGAAAGAUAAAAGAUUCUCCAAUCUGAAUGGAACGAAGAGUACUUUAGUAUCAUGUUUUAUGAUCAUCUUAGUAAUUGUGGAAUUGUAUCACAAUUAAUCCUCAAAGAACAUCCCAGUGCAGUUAUAUGACCAACAAGAGGAAUCAAACAUUAUUGGAAAUGGUUCGAUCAUAGAUGACUCAGAAUUUGUUUCAAUCAAGUUUUAGAUCCAUUCUAUAGUAACUGUAAAUCUUAUCUUGAAGCUCAUUUCAAACUAAGACGGAUGAUAACACCUCUUAAUACCAAGAGUGAAAAAUGCUUUACUUACUCCAACACAUUCAUAAUUGGAGUUUUAAUGUUUUCUUUGAUCGAGAAACAAAGGAUAAACUAAGUCCUAUUAUAUGGAGUGUUUCCUUGUCGGGAAUCCACAAUGAUGUUUGAAUUAUUGUGUUACCUCAUCAAGAAAUUUUCUUUGAGAGAUAAAAUUAUAUAUCAACAAUUUAACGGGAGUUGUAUUUUUCUUGAGAGUAUCAAGAGUCAACCGAAAAUAACCUUUUAGUAAUCACUAGCACACGACCCGAGGUUGAUAACAUGUUGCGUUUAAUUUACAUAUUUUUAUUUAUGUGCACUUCUAGUUGGGUUGGAAAUGCUUAUGAGUUCUAUGUUCUUCAUUUAACUACAAAAGGAAAAGUAUGUUGGCCGGUGAAAGUACACUAAUCAAUAUGGGUGAGCUGGUAACAACAUGGAAGAACUGGUAGGCCCUUCUGCUCCCAGAAAGAAAGAAAUUAAAAUAGGAAAGUUUAGUCCAUGCAGGAAAGUUGAAUUUGAUUUUGGUUUGUCGUGAACCAUAUCGUAUGACUGUUGGUUGGAAAUGGAAGAUCCAUAUGGAUAAGAAUGUGUGCACCUUGAAAUCUAAAUGACAAAGGUUUUGCUCUAAUUCGUGAUAAUUGUGACAACCCGAUAUUUCAACUCUUUGUAAUGACCUAAAAGGUCAAGUAUUGUAACCACUUUUGAGUUAAUAAAAUUAACUUUCAUAAUAAAAUGUCCAAAUAGUUCUAUUUAAAUUCCUUCUAUAUUUAAAUGUCUUUAAACCAUGAUCAUAUGUAAAAAGAACGCCCAAAUCCGACUUCGUAUAUUGAAGUUAUGAUUUUUCCAAGUUCAGCUUAGCAACAGACAGCUAAAAACUCGAAUCGGAGAUCGAGUGACUUUUGGCCGGAAUGACCUAAACGAGAAUCGAAGGUCUCGACAAUGGUAUUUCAGCGGUAAAAAGUCUGGCAAAAACCGACAUCAGAUAAAGAAGUUAUGAAUUUUUGAAGAAAUUCCUUAAACACGAUGAGUUAUAAAAUAAAUGAUAAAAAUAAUUUCGGAAUUUGCCAACGGAGUCUAAACGAAAGUUGUAGAGCGUAGUCUCACCUAUGCGUGGAUAUAAAGACCAUCGAAAACGGAGUUCGUAUGAAGAAGAUAUGAAUUUUUGAAGUUUAUUAAAUAAAUUAUAUAUUUAUUUAAUUCAAAAUUCAAGCAUUAUCCGAAGAGGAGUCAGCGUCCUCAUCCGAGGUACGCGCUGCGUACCCCUGUACGCCCUGCGUACCCGAGGGACUUGGCCUCGGAUCGUCCACGUCGCCCUAUGCGAGGCUACCGACCCGUCCGACCCGCCCGUCCGACCGACCCGUCCGACCCGCCGUCCCAUCCGACCCGCCAGACUGAUCCGUCCCAUCCGAAGCCGAGGCAGUCGAGGCUUCGGUCAUGCAUGACGUACGCGUACGCGCUGCGUACGAGCGUACGCCCCGCGUACGAGGCUUCUCAGACCCCCCUAUAAAUAGCAUGCGAGGGCUUCCGAAAAAGAUGCUCAUUUCUCUCCUUUCUCUCACGAUAUUGCCUCGUUUUCCGUGCCCGUUCAAACCCGAAGCUCUGGUCUUUUUGCUCAAGUCCCGAGGGUCGAUUUUACUCCCGAGAUUCCCGAGAAUCCCGAGAAAAAUCCGUUUCCCGAGACGAAACUCUGCCCGGUUUUCCAUCUCGCUAUCUUCAAACUUUCAAGUGAGUUCAUACCCCUUAAUUUACCUUUUAAAUGUUCUAUAAAUUCUUUUAUAUGCUUUCAAGGGGGGGAUUACAAGUAAAACACACGAGUAUUAUCGUGUGUUACAUAAAGAACUAUUUUAUAUGCUUUUAUAUAUCCAAAUCACAUGCGAUUUACAAACUUUAUAAGGAACUUUCAUAUAUAUAACAUAUGUUAAAAUAGCAUUCUAUCUUUUGAAAUAUAAAUUUGUUGUAAUGCAUGUAUAAACUAAACUUUUCUUAGAUUAUUCUUGUCUAUCUUAGACUCUACACCAAAAAUCUAUGCUUUCAUAAACAAGUGAUUCCUUUUCUAGGUAUUUCUAAACAAACAAGACACACUUUUAGAAAACUAUAAUAGGUAUAGUUUUACGAACAAAUUUCUAACUCUUAUGUACUAGAAACAUGAAUUUCAAGAAGUCACUUUCGUAUACAAGAACAAACGUAACAUUUUAACAAGUAGAUCUGUUUUUAUACCACGGUUUUGUGAGACACUAACUUCAUGUACGUUCGAGUACACAUUUCAAGUCCUGUAUUAUAUACCAGAAUCCCUUGGAGGGGGAGCAUGGUGUUUGUGUAUAGAUCUAUACGGGCUUGACAACCCGCGCCCUGACUGUUAGCUGCAGUCCACCGUUUGGGGUGACAAACGUCAUAACAUUCCAACGCCUGAAGAACGUUGUGUAUAGGCAUUCCGAGUCAAUAGUAUGGUUAUAAAACUCACAUGGGGUAUUAAAAAUGCAUUGAUUUACAAGGUUUUCAAACACAUUGGUUAUUUUACACUUACAUACAUUUUAGAAACAAACAUUGGUCUUGAGUGAAGGCUACUAUUAUACUAGUAGAAAAUAUAGGAUUUUCUAAACACAAACAAACAAAGACAAAACAUUUCAUUUCAUUCAAACAUUGUCACUUAAAUACUUAUGAAACUCACCAGCUUAAAUGCUGAUCUACUCUUUCAAAAUUACUUGUAUGUCCCAGGAAAUCAGUAAUUUCAGGUAUUCAUUACGCUUUUGAUGAAGGGAUGCUGCGGCGCCAGUUUAAUCUCGUAUUUUUGACAUCAUAUUGUAAUUGAGUUUUGAACAUGUAACUUUUGACAAAUGUAAACUUUCAAUUAUAUAUAUGAUGGUUGUAUUGCUUUCUUUACUAUGUAUUCAUUUGUUACGUUACCACAUGAAGUCAUCCGCCCCCGAACGUUUCCGCCGUUCAGGUUUGGGGGUGUGACAGAUUGGUAUCAGAGCAAUGUUUAUAGUGAACUAAGUAUAUCGAACCACAUAAGAUAUACAAACUAUAAAUGCUUAAGGGACUAAUACUCUCUGACAAAACAAAUUUUCUUUUUACACUUAAGCAGCAUUUCGUUCAACUUAAAUUGAUAGUUCAUUUAAGUACAAUUACAUGCAUACCACAAACUAUUUUCAUGUUAUACAACUAUACAAGUAUUUAGACAAGUUGACACUACGAUUGAGACUCGAUAUAUGUAAUCAGAUUUUGGACAAAUAUAGCGUGAUCAACUAUAUUUGCCCAAGAUUGGACCAACGUAUAUCGAGGAAUGAUCGUAGUAAGCAACAAGUCAAAACUUACCAAACCAUUACAAGAAUCAAACACAAGAAUUUAAAUACUAUAGGAGUAUUUGCUAUCUAAACUAGUUUAACUUACAUGUUUUACAUGUUCCGACUUUAUUCAAUUCUUAUAACCCUAUUUCUCGUACAGUCAAAUGGCUGGAUUUCACCACCCUGGCGACCCCUACUUUCCCAACCAAGGCAACGGAGGAUGGAUCGAAGAUGAUCCCGAAGAGGACGAGGAACCCAUAGAAGUGGGUGAUGACUCCGGUACCGACUCAGAGCCGGAAGUUAUCGAUCCACCACCCAUUCAACCUCCCGUCUUCGUAAGGAACUUUCAAGGACCGACUCCCGUCUGGGGAAGUCACCUCCACCAUUGGAGCCAACAGCAAAACCUACGCCCUCCCUACGGCAUGUGCCGGGACUUCUAUGAUGUCCGCGGCGGAGGUUCGGCUGAUCGAGCACUCCCGGUAAUGGUGGGUAAGUUAGCCAAUCAGUCCUAUCAGUCUGGAGUACAAGCUAGUCGACUCCGGGAUAUCAACGUGGAAGUGCAGGUUCACACUUCUGACAUCCGUAGGCUGGACAAGAUGCAAGACAACGCUCAAUUCCAAACCGAAGCGUUUCAAGCGCAAAUGAUUGCAGCCCUCGCCGAACUAAGGGAACAACAAGCCGCUUUCGAUAGGCGUCUAAUGGAGUCAAAGCAAUCAGAUACGGAGUCAAGCUCCAAGCGCAACCUUCGACGCAAGUAGUGCUUGUCAAGGACUCAAAUUUUGUUAUAGCUUAGGACCUCGGCUAAAAGUCUUUAAAUUUCUCGAACUUUGUAAUCGGAGACCCUUAUAGGGGUCAAAUUUUCAUGAUCGUUGUAACAACUUUUAUAUUAAUAUAAGUGGCACUAUUACUACUAUGUUGAGUAUUUCGUUCGAACCUUGAAUGGUCUUUGUGAACCCAAAUACUUGUUUCAUACCUUCAGUCUUACAAAUAACUUUCAUUCUUCUAUUUUAAGACUCAUACUAUCAUCUGUUGUUGAACUAUAGCGAUUUAGUUCAUGAGACACAUACAUUUUCCAUUCUAUGAAAUUCUUAUCCUUGUCUUUUCAAUCUAUAGUUGAAGGAUGCCUCCGCGUAGGAAUCCAAGGCGAAACAACGGUGAGGAAGCACCUAUACCACCACCACCUCCACCACCCCAAUUUGAUGCUGUAAUGUUUCAAGCAGCAGUCACCGCAGCGGUGGCAGCUGCCAUGUCACAGAUCAAUAACUCGAGUACUAAUGGCUCGGGAUCUGGCACACACCUAUCCAACCAUGGCGAGAGUCAUGGACCACCUCGAGAAUGCACCUAUAAGGACUUCACUAAUGCCAAGCCCCGGAUGUUUUAUGGUACUGGUGGUGUGAUGGCCCUGAGGCAGUGGAUUGAAAGGACGGAGGCAGUCUUUGAAAUCUGCUCCUGCCCCGAGCACAGCAAGGUCAAAUUUGCAACUUUCACCCUUCUCGAUAAAGCUUUAACUUGGUGGAAUGGCCACGUUAAAGUACUUACCCUAAUCGUGGCAAACUCCAUAAGCUGGGAGAGCUUGAAGGCCAUGAUGAUGAGAGAAUACUGCCCACGGGGAGAAAUUCAAAAGCUUGAACACGAGCUAUGGACUCUCGGAAUGGUGGGUACCGACAUCGCUACUUAUACCAACAGAUUCUGCGAACUGGCAAUCCUUUGUCCAGAUAUGAUUGCUCCCGAGAGCAAGAAGAUAGAAAGGUACAUCUGGGGACUGACGCCCCAAAUGCGAUCAAGCGUGUUAGCUUCUAAACCUGACACCUUUGAAAGUGCUAAGGAACUGGCACAAUCUCUGAUCGACUACGGAGGUCAUCAGAACUCAACCACUUCUGCACCAGCACCACAGAAAGGAAACAACAACAACAACAACAACAACAACAACAACAACAAUGGCAGGAAGAGAGCGUGGAUUAAAGGGAAGGGUGGGUCUUCCCAAGAAUCCGCAAAGAAACAACUGGUGUCAGUAAAUGCUGCCAUUGUACCUGCUACAGCCCCUACAAAUACCUACCCAACAAAGCCUUAUAUAGGUAACCUCCCAAAAUGCACCAAAUGCAAUUACCACCACCAUGGACCUUGUCGAGAUAUGCAGUGCGCCAACUGCAGCAGGAAAGGACACACAGCCCGUUUCUGCAAGGAACCCGCAAAGCCGAUCACUCAAGUUCCCGGUGCGGGUGUAGGGCAGGCUUGCUACGGUUGUGGCGAGGUGGGCCACUACAAGAGAAACUGUCCUAAGGCAGCAGGCACCGGAGGUGUGGGACGAGUUUUGGCAAUAGGCCACGACGAAGCUGUAGCUGACCCAACUAUAGUUGCUGGUACGUUCCUUCUCGAUAAUUCAUACGCAUGCAUAUUAUUCGAUAGUGGAGCGGAGAGAAGCUUCGUGAGUCAAAACUUUAUUCAUUUACUUAAACCUAAACCUAGCAAGUUAGAAAAAUCAUUCACUGUAGAGAUGGCCAAUGGAAAAACCGAAAACACAAAUUGCAUAUACAUGGGCUGUACGUUAACAUUAGACGGCCAUUCUUUCCCAAUCAAUCUCAUGCCGGUUCAAAUUAAAAGUUUCGACGUCAUAGUCGGCAUGGAUUGGUUGAGUCUUCUUCGCGCCGACAUCAUGUGCUUUGAGAAAGCAGUCCGUCUUAACCUCCCUAACAACGAAACAUUAGUUAUCUACGGCGACAAAUCUAGUGCAAACCUUCGCAUCAUUUCGUGCAUCCAAGCUCGAAAGUGCUUGCGGAAGGAUUGUCGAGCAUUCCUAGCGCACAUCGUCGAUACAAGUCAAGAACUGAAGGACAUCAAGAGCAUCUCGGUAGUACGCGACUUUCCCGAUAUCUUUCCAGAAGAACUACCAGGAUUACCACCGCAACGCCAAGUCGAGUUCAGAAUCGACUUAAUUCCAGGAGCUACCCCAGUAGCGAAGUCGCCUUAUCGUCUUGCACCAGCAGAGAUGCAGGAACUUUCCAGUCAACUUAAUGAACUCCUUCACAAAGGAUUCAUAAGACCAAGUUUCUCACCUUGGGGAGCACCGGUCUUGUUUGUAAAGAAGAAAGACGGAUCGUUCCGUAUGUGCAUCGACUACAGAGAGCUGAACAAACUUACUGUCAAGAACCGCUAUCCUCUACCCCGUAUCGACGACCUAUUCGAUCAACUUCAAGGGGCGAACUACUUCUCCAAAAUAGACCUGCGAUCCGGAUAUCACCAAUUACGAGUUCUAGAGGGGGACAUUCCAAAGACAGCCUUCCGAACUCGUUAUGGACACUACGAAUUCGUGGUGAUGCCGUUCGGAUUAACCAAUGCACCAGCAGUAUUUAUGGACCUAAUGAAUAGGGUAUGCCGCCCUUACUUGGAUCAGUUCGUCAUCGUCUUUAUCGAUGAUAUACUUAUCUACUCUCGAAGUGAGGAAGAGCAUAGUCAACACCUACGAAAAGUCCUAGAAACACUGCGAACGGAGAAACUCUAUGCGAAGUUCUCUAAAUGCGAAUUUUGGAUUCGAAGAGUCGAAUUUUUAGGUCACGUUGUUAGCGAGAAAGGUAUACACGUGGACCCCUCCAAAAUUAAGGCUAUUGAGAACUGGUCGGCACCAAAGACACCUACAGAAAUUCGUCAAUUUCUAGGUCUAGCUGGCUACUAUCGCAGAUUCAUAAAGAACUUUUCGAGCAUUGCGAAACCUCUUACUUCAUUAACCCAGAAAGGUGUGGCCUUUGACUGGGAAGCGAAACAAGAGAAGGCAUUCCAGACACUAAAGCAGGCCUUGUGCACCGCACCGAUACUAUCCCUCCCCGAAGGGAUAGAAGACUUCGUAGUGUAUUGCGAUGCUUCAAAUCAAGGACUUGGUUGUGUUCUUAUGCAGAGAGGGAAGGUUAUCGCUUAUGCCUCCCGACAGCUUAAGACACACGAAGUGAACUAUACGACACACGACCUCGAGUUAGGAGCAGUGGUAUUUGCUCUGAAGAUCUGGAGGCACUACUUAUACGGAACAAAGAGUACUAUAUUCACCGAUCACAAGAGCCUUCAACACAUUUUCGAUCAGAAGGAACUCAACAUGCGACAACGACGAUGGGUUGAGUUACUGAAUGACUACGAAUGCGAAAUUCGUUAUCAUCCUGGCAAGGCCAACGUAGUAGCCGACGCCCUCAGUCGAAAGGAAUACACUGGUCGGAGGGUCAAAUCUCUGACCAUGACUAUCCAUUCCCACUUAUCCACACAAAUUAAGGAAGCACAAAUGGAAGCUUUGCAACCUGAAAAUGUGGCGGGUGAAUCCCUGCGAGGAAUGGAGAAGAAUUUAGAAGUCAAGGGUGGCGGAGCCUACUAUCUCAUGGACCGAAUCUGGACCCCAAAUCAUGGUGGUUUCAGAAACGUAGUCAUGACCGAGGCUCACAACUCAAGAUAUUCCGUUCACCCGGGUUCAGAUAAAAUGUAUCUGGAUCUUAAGAAACUGUACUGGUGGCCUAACAUGAAAGCAGAAAUUGCUACCUUCGUGAGUAAAUGUCUUACUUGCGCUAAGGUUAAGGUCGAGUAUCAGAAACCGUCAGGACUACUACAACAACCAGAGAUACCGGAAUGGAAAUGGGAGCGGAUUACUAUGGACUUCAUAACCAAGUUACCCAAGACGACAAGUGGACUCGAUACCAUAUGGGUCAUUGUCGACAGAUUGACCAAAUCCGCACAUUUCCUACCCAUCAAGGAGACUGACAAAAUGGAGAAGCUUACAAGAACUUACUUAAGGGAAGUAGUGCGACUGCAUGGUGUUCCGAUAUCCAUUAUCUCCGAUCGAGAUAGUAGAUUCACUUCAAGAUUCUGGCAGUCACUACAAAGUUCCCUGGGAACUAGGCUAGACAUGAGUACAGCCUACCACCCACAGACAGACGGACAAAGUGAGAGAACAAUACAAACUUUAGAAGACAUGCUGAGAGCCUGCGUGAUUGACUUUGGAAAGGCAUGGGAUAUUCAUUUACCCCUUGUCGAAUUUUCAUACAACAAUAGUUAUCAUACAAGCAUAAAGGCUGCUCCGUUUGAAGCCCUCUAUGGUCGAAAGUGCAGAUCCCCUCUGUGCUGGACUGAAGUUGGCGAUACCCAGUUAGCUAGAGGAAGAGUUCCUGAAAGCACUCUCACCGGUCCGGAGAUCAUACGUGAAACAACAGAGAAGAUCGUUCAGAUUCGUGAACGAUUGAAAGCCUCAAGAGACCGACAGAAAAGCUACGCUGACCAAAGGAGGAAACCUUUGGAAUUCCAGGUAGGAGACCACGUCUUAUUAAAGGUCUCACCGUGGAAGGGUUUAAUACGAUUUGGAAAGCGUGGGAAACUAAAUCCAAGAUACAUAGGGCCUUUCGAGAUUCUUGCCAGAAUCGGCCCUGUGGCUUACAAGCUUAACCUACCGCGCGAACUUAGUAACAUCCAUCCAACCUUCCACGUCUCAAACUUGAAAAAGUGUCUGUCCGACGAGACUCUUGUUAUUCCACUCGACGAGAUCGAGAUCAACGAGAGCCUCAACUUUGUGGAAGAACCAGUAGAAAUCAUGGACCGAGAGGUCAAACAAACAAAACAAAGUCGCAUACCCAUCGUGAAGGUUCGCUGGAACGCCAAGCGGGGACCCGAAUUCACAUGGGAACGCGAAGAUCAGAUGAAACAAAAGUACCCUCAUCUCUUUCAUGUUCACUAGUAUCUUUACUACUUUAAAUUUCGGGACGAAAUUCUCUCUAACGGGGGGAUGAUGUGACAACCCGAUAUUUCAACUCUUUGUAACGACCAAAAUGGGUCAAGUAUUGUAACCACUUCUGAAUAAUAAAAAGUUACUUUCAUAAUAAAAUGUAUAAAUAAGUUCUACUUAAUUUCCUUCUAUGAUUAAAUGUCUUUGAACCAUGAUCGUACGUGAAAAGAACGCCCAAAUCCGACUUCAUAUAGCGAAGUUAUGAUUUUUCCAAGUUCGGCUUAGCAACAGACAGCUAAAAACUCGAAUCGGAGAUCGAGCGACUUUUGGCCGGAAUGACCUAAACGAGAAUCGAAGGUCUCGACAAUGGUAUUCCAGCGGUAAAAAGUCUGGCAAAAACCGACAUCAGAUAAAGAAGUUAUGAAUUUUCAAAGAAAUUCCUUAAACACGAUGGGUUUUUAAUAAAUAAUAAAAAUAUAAUUUUGGAAUUUGCCGACGGAGUCUAAACGAAAGUUGUAGAGCGUAGUCUCACCUACGCGAGGAUAUAAAGACCAUCGAAAACGGAGUUCGUAUGAAGAAGAUAUGAAUUUUUGAAGUUUAUUAAAUAAAUUAAUUAUUUAUUUAAUUCAAAAUUCGGAUAUUAUCCGAAGGGGAGUCAGCAUCCUCCUCCGAGGUACGCGCUGCGUACCCCUGUACGCCCCGCGUAACCGAGAGGAUUGGCCUCUGAUCGUCCACGUCGCGCUAUCCGAAGAAACCGACCCAUCCGACCCGUCCGAAGCCCCGACCCGUCCGACCCGACGUCCCAUCCGACCCGGCGUCCCAUCCGACCCGCGUACCCAGCAACCCGUCCCAUCCGAACCGAGGCAGUCGAGGCUUCGGUCAUGCAUGACGUACGCGUACGCGCUGCGUACGAGCGUACGCCCCGCGUACCGAGGCAGACCAGCCUUACUAUAAAUAGGAUGCGAGGGUUUCCAAAGAAAGGGUUCAUUUCUCUUCUCUCUCUCUCAACUUUGCCUCGUUUUCCGUGUCCGUUCAAACCCGAAGCUCUGGUCUUUUUGGCUCAAGUCCCGAAGGUCGAUUUUACUCCCGAGAUUCCCGAGAAUCCCGAGGAAAAUCCGUUUCCCGAGACGAAACUCUGCCCGGUUUUCCAUCUCGCUAUCUCCAAAACUUUCAAGUGAGUUUCAUACCCCUUAAUCAACCUUUUUAAUUAUUCUAAAUACUUUUAUAUGCUUUCAAGGGGGGGAUUACAAGUAAAACACACGAGUAUUAUCGUGUGUUACAUAAAGAAACUCUUUUAUAUACUGUUAUAUAUUCAAAUCACAUGCGAUUUAUAAACAUUUAAAGGAACUUUUAUAUAUAUAUAACAUAUGUCACAAUAGCAUUUUACCUUUUAAAAUAUAAUGUUGUUGUAAUGCAUGUAUAAACUAAACUGUUCUUAGAUUUUUCUUGUCUAUCCUAGACUCUACACCAAAAAUCUAUACUUUCAUAAACAAGUGAUUCCUUUUCUCAAUAUUUCUAAACAAACAAGACACGCUUUUUGGAAACUAUAAUAGGUAUAGUUUUACGAACAGAUUUCUAACUCUUAUGUACUAGAAACACAUAUUUCAAGAAGUUUACUUUCGUAUACAAGAACAAACGUAACAUUUUAACAAGUAGAUCUGUUUUUAUACCACGGUUUUGUGAGACACUAACUUCAUGUACGUUCGAGUACACAUUUCAAGUCCUGUAUUAUAUACCAGAAUCCCUUGGAGGGGGAGCAUGGUGUUUGUGUAUAGAUCUAUACGGGCUUGACAACCCGCGCCCUGACUGUUAGCUGCAGUCCACCGUUUGGGGUGACAAACUUCAUAACAUUCCAACGCCUGAAGAACGUUGUGUAUAGGCAUUCCGAGUCAAUAGUAUGGUUAUAAAACUCACAUGGGGUAUUAAAAAUGCAUUGAUUUACAAGGUUUUCAAACACAUUGGUUAUUUUACACUUACAUACCUUUUUAGAAACAAACAUUGGUCUUGAGUGAAGGCUACUUUUAUACUAGUAGAAAAUAUAGGAUUUUCUAAACACAAACAAACAAAGACAAAACAUUUCAUUUCAUACAAACAUUGUCACUUAAAUACUUAUGAAACUCACCAGCUUAAAUGCUGAUCUACUCUUUCAAAAUUACUUGUAUGUCCCAGGAAAUCAGUAAUUUCAGGUAUUCAUUAUGCUUUUGAUGAAGGGAUGUUGCGGCGCCAGUUUAAUCUCGUAUUUUGACAUCAUAUUGUAAUUGGUUUUGAACAUGUAACUUUUGACAAAUGUAAACUUUCAAUUAUAUAUAUGAUGGUUGUAUUGCUUUCUUUACUAUGUAUUCAUUUGUUACGUUACCACAUGAAGUCAUCCGCCCCCGAACGUUUCCGCCGUUCAGGUUUGGGGGUGUGACAAUAAUGAUUAUGAGGAAAUACUUUUGCUAGUAGAUUUUAAGAUUUAAUAAAUAUCAAUAUGGAUAUUGGUUAUGUUAGUUGCAUUCUAAAACUGACAAUAUGAUUACAACAUCCUUCUUAAUAUUUUGAGUUGUGAGAAAUAAAAAAGAAUUGUUUGAACUUUGUAAAGAUAUAUUUAUCAGUCUUGAAAGGGUUUAACACACACACACACACAUUAUCCAACUAAGGUGUAUAAGCUUAAGAAGUCUAGUUGGAGACUUAUUGAAGCAUCGUGUAAUAGAAAUCUGCACUUCCUUAAUAAGGCCAAAGAAUAUUGAUUUCUAGGAGUCCGGUUGAUUUCUAGGUACAUAUCAAAGCUAGUGGGAACAAUGUCUCCAAUUUGAAAAUUAAAAAGAUUGGGAAGUGUUUCGCUAUAAUGGACUUAAGGGAGAGGGAACUCAUACUUUAUUUCGAGUAUAAAGGAUUAGAUUGUAUGGUUUAAUAGAAGCNAAGAUCAUAUAUAUAUAUAUAUAUAUAUAUAUAAAUAUCAUGUUGAAACAUUUCAACAUAAGAGAUUUGAUAUAUAUAAAUAUUAUAGCAAGAGAACGAACAUAUAUAAAAUCUUUAUGUAGUACAUAAUGAGUCGAGUCACAUAUUCUUCAGAUAUACUCCCUCAGUCCAAAAAUUAUAGUCCAUCUUUCCCUUUUGGUUUGUCCCAAAAUAAUAGUCCACCUCUAAAACUAAAUAACAUUUUUACCAAAAUACCCCCUUAUUAUUACUUCACACAAUAAAUAUUUAAUGGAAUAUUAAAUGCAAAGUAAGGACAAAACUAUCAUUUUAUUGUAUAAAGUUAGUGGUAAUUAAUGUUUCCUUAAUCUAUGUGUUUUUUUGUCUGUUGAUAAUUUUGGGAUGGAGGGAGUAGAAUCGAUUACAUAUGCUUAAAUAUUCGUUUAUUCUACUUUUUCAAAUGCCUUUAGCAUUUUGUGAAAAGGAUUAGAAUUUCAUGGUACUAAAGUUGUUAAACAACUAUCAAGAGCAUUUUGAGGUUUAUCGAAGACUGGUUGCUCGUGGACAAUUUAGAGUAUGAUAUUUUUAAGACAGACCAUAAUAAAACGUUUUGGGUUGAGAUGAUUCUUGGUCAAAAAUGAUGGUCAUAUGGGAACAUGUAAAUAUUUCAAUAAUAGCAGAUGGGUGAUAAGUCUACAUGUGAGUAAGAAAAUUUAAUGCAAGAAAGUGUUCGAUGACUGUACCUUGAAUUUAAGACUUCAUAACCAUGAAAUUGUUUCUAGUAACAAGUUCUAGUGGAAUAUUAUGUAAUAUCGAAGGCUUAGUCUCUAUGACUUUAGAACCUUGACAUCAUAGAAAGAAAUUGCAUGUCAAGAUGAAAUUCCACUACAUCUUAGAUAAUGAUAGGAAUUUGGAAUUGUGAAAAAAGCAUCAUUGAAGUAAUGCCCAACUGAUCUGUUUACAAAGGAAGGACCAUAGAGAUGCAUAGUAUGCAUGUUCAUAACAUGGCAUGACUGAUGUUAUCUAAUUCAAGUGGUUAGUUGAUGUGACAACCGUUAAAUUCUGGUCAAGGCAAAGUCAAAUAAAGUCAACAAGUCAAACCGGUCAACUCUAUUAACCCUUGUAUACCAGGGUUCACUUUAUGUAAUUACUGUACAACUCACUAUUUUAAUAAGAAAUCAUCACUUGAAAAGUUUGUGUUUUUAGAUUUCUUAAAUCCUAAUCGGGCUAAGUGAGGUAGCAAAGCGAUAAAACACUAUUACAUACCCUUCGGGGGUGUGUAAGACUCUUAAACAUGGCUAAAAGGGGUUUGCGGACCUUGCGUUACAAAGCCAAACACUCAAAAAGGUCACAUAACAAAUCUCUACCAAAUCUCUCCAAGUAUGUGAAAUCUCUCCCAAAUCUCUCCAAGUAUGUGAAAUCUCUCCCAAAUCUCUCUCAACUUUUUAUAGUCAUCUGAAUCAUCCCGACCCUUAACUUGGUCAAAAAUCACUCGAAACAGGAAGAAAUCAUGAAAACACCCUCUUAAAGCCGAACCUUCUUAGGAACUGAACCUCUCUUAAGGAACCGAAACCUCCUAAGAACCGAAACCACCUCCUGAAACGAAACUACUAAGGAACCGAAAGUAACCUUCGGUCCAAGCCUUCACUUUCGGUCCGAGAUGCACACCUUAAGGAGCUGAACCCUACUCUCGGUUCCCCCAUCAACUCUCGGUUCUAAGCACCAGGGACCGAACCUCCGGCCCAAACUUCAAAUUUUCGCCUGUUUUUCCCAGUUUUUGACCAUUUUCGCGUUUUAAGCCCGUUUUUUGUGAUUUUAACGCGGGAUUUUCACCCAAACUUAUAUUUUGACAUAUAAGGCCCCAUAUUUCCAUAAUCUAAGCACAUUUUUAUGGAAAUCUUUAUUUAAGAAUGAAAUAUAGUGGGUGAGUUAUGUAGGUGGAGUGUUGACUUAUCCUUUGUACAAGAACACAAGCAACCUCCCACACUCACUCCAAGGCCAUACCCAACAACUAUUCCCCCAUACCUGGUCAAUCCUCGUCCUUUUUUCCAUAAUUGUUCCAGCCAUACUCUUGAACAAAAUCUGGAAAUCCUCAUCUCUCUUCCCAUUUCACUCCUUCUCCACCAAAGAGAAAACUUCAUUCUCUCUCACUUCUCUCUCUAAGAUUUCAAGAUUUCAAGGUUGACUUUCAAGUUCUUCAUAUGCUUUUGGUAAGUAAAAUCAUCCUUCAUAUGAUUAUUCCACCUCUUUCUACUCCAAUCAUAGGUUUCUUACACAAACUUCAUCAUAAUUGUGCUAGAUCCUUGAAUCUUCAAGCAAUCUUCUAAGUGUUCUUGAGUUGAACACUUCAUUUCUUCAUCAUCCAUCUACUAAAAUCACUCAAGGUGAGUUCAUACCCUUAUCUUUUCACUUUUUCUUAAGUUUUGUGAGGGGGAUACAAGUUAAAACACCAAGAACACAACUAAACUCUCCCAACAGCUUUCAUCAGAAAAGUUAGACUCCAUUCACGGACUAUUUUGGACAACUUAAACAUUUUAUUUUUUAGAACUAUAUUAGGUGCAAAUAUUUCAGGUUCAUAACUUUAAAAUAACUACUUGCACAUCUCCAUACAAUUUUUCUACAAUUUAUGGUGAUCUUUACAAAGCUGCCUAUCAUUUCAAGGACAAAUUCGGACUAGUAUGUGAUUAUGGACUUUUUCACACAAGUUGGGGGUCACUAAAAAUCAUAAUAAAAUUUAUGAACAAACUAGACUCAUUUUCCAAACUCUCAGAAUUUACAGAUUCUGAUUUGGACCUUUGAUGAAUUUUCUAUAAAUUUUCUAAGAACAAUAUUAGAAAUGUUAACACUAGAAAUAUGUUAUCAAUUUCAUUUACACCUUGUAACUUGUUGAGAAAGGUGUGUAUCAUUAUGAGAUUAUAUGUUAUUAUAUUAUAUGUCAUUUUCUAUUGGUGUUUAGACAUUACAUCAGAAAACAAAUGGAUUUUUCUAGAUUAAAUACGGUAAAUAAUAAAUUGUUAUAAACAAUGUUUACGUCCAUUUCAUACAAACAUUUGGUAAACUAUGACAAGUAUAGUUUAUGUACACUAUCACUACUAUUGUUUUGAUAAACUAUAAUAGGUAUAGUUUAUGAUUCAUCUACAUAACAAACUCACAUCUAAAGGUUACACUUAUACAAAAGGUUUUUCAUUAUACCACACGUAAGUUCGUUAAUGACUUUUGUGAGACAUUCGCUCCAUAUUACUUUUCAAGUAUUACACACAAGUCAUGUAUUGUAACCAUAAUCUCUUGUAGGGAGAGCGUGAUAGUUGUGUAUAGAUCUAUAUUGGGUCUAACAAACCCACACCUUAGCUGCAUGCAACAACUAGACCGGCAGGUCUGGGGUGACAAAUGCCAUAACAAUUCCGACGCCUGAAGAACGUCGUUUCAGGCCAACUAGGUCAUAGCAUGGUUAUAAUAACUCACAUUAAGUAUUAACAAACACAGGAUUUACGGGGAUUUAAUUGGAAUCAAAUAAUUUUAUGUAGAUUUAAACUUGCAUUGUUUACUAUAAGUAAGGAAAAUUGCUUGUACAUUUCGGUCUUUGGGUUAAAGACUAUGUUUUACACUUUAAGGAAAAUAUUGGAUUUUUCUAAGGACAAACACUACUUUUUCAAGAAAAGUUUUCAUAACUACAUCCAAAAGCUUAUGAACUCACCAACUUAAUUGUUGACACUCUUUCAAAAUUAGUUGUAUUCUCAGGAAAUCAAUAAACAGGUAAUCAAGUGCUUUUGAGGAUGGGAAGUUGCGGCGUCAAACAUUUCAGUUUUGUCAACGUAAUGUAAUUGAUUUGGAAACAUCUAAUCUCAUACAAGGAUGUAACUUUUUCAAUUAUAUUUAUGUUGGUUGUGUUUACUUUGAUCACUAUUGCAAAUUGUUGUUAUGAUACUAUACAUGAAGUCCUCCACCCCCAGACGUUUCCGCCAUCCUUGGUUUGGGGGUGUGACAGUUGAUUAGUCGAAACAUUAUAAAAUGAAUAAAUUUGUAUUAUUAUGGUGAUUAAAUAAAUAGGGAUUUAUUUAUCUUCAAUGCGUAUGCUACUAUAGUUAAUUAUUUUAUAAUUGUGUUUCACUUUGCAUGUCUUACAUCUUGAAUAAUUUUAUUAUUCAAAUUCCACAGUUGUUAAUACUUUUGGAAGUAAAUAGUGAAUUAAGGUUGUCAUGAAAAACUUGUAGAUUAUCCAUAGAGAUUUGACAUUGCAUGGGAUUGCUGCAUUAUUCAUGAGUACUUGAAAAUAGGGAUUUUAAGUAUUGGAUAAACCCACACUUAUAGAUUACUUCAUGAAUUUAAUCACGAUUAAUUCUAAGACGAUAAUAUUUAUUAUUCUUCAAACGAAGAUACAUAAGUUGUAAUUUUCAAUUCAGUUGUGCAUUGGUAUUGCAUAAACGAACCAGUAAGUUGAUGUUAUAAAACAUAAUGUCAUGUAUGAUUUGAUGAGUAAAGGUUAAAGUUAUGUAGUCAAAGUUUAUUCGUUCCUUUUGCCUUAACAGGAAAAUCAAUAUCUUUGAGCCUUUCAAUGAUUUGAGUUGAUAUAUAAAAAUCAGGUCAGGUACAGACUAAAUUGAUAUGUUCAAUUUUGUAGUUUGAAUUUGAUCACAAAUCGGGAAAUCGGGAAACAUACAAAUGAACAAAAGGUUGAUAAUUUAAUCUGUGACUCUAUUCAUAUGAUAUAUUAUAGAAUGAAGGAAUAGUUAAUCACUUAUCUUGUAGAAAGAAGGAAUAGCUAAUCACUUAUCUUAAGCACUCUUUUCUGUUUAGUUCAAGGUUAUACUUGCAAUUGUAGUUAUAGACUUAUCCAAGUGGGAGACUAUUGAAUUAAGGUGUCUAAACCCAUAACUAAAUUGUUAUAUACUUAUAAUUACAAGCAAAGUUCUUUUUCGGGUUUCCCUCAUAACCAGAAAUAGCUAGAAAUUAUAUUACGAGAUAAAAGUAUAAUUUAUUCGAUUAUUAAACUAAUUGGAAAUUAUGAGAAAAUGAUUUGUUGAUAUAUUAUGUGAUUAAUAUAAUAACUGGAAAUAGAUAGUUGAUUUGUUGAUUUAUUAUGCGAUUAAUAAAUUAAUAUGAGAUUAAAUGUUAAAUAAUUGACCUGUUAAUUUAUAUGAUUAAUAAAUUUACGUGAAAUCAACUGGAAUUGAUUAAUUAUUAAUCAGAAUUAAUCUGAAAUUAAUUUGGGAUUAAUUGAAAUAACUUAAAGGCGUAAGUGGUGAAUUAUAAUUUUUUAAUAGUUGAACAAAAAAGAAAUUCUAUAAUCCUCCAUGGUAUAGAUGAUUUUGGAAGGUUUCCUAGGGUUUCUAAAAGCCUCUUGGUUGUAUAAAAGGAAAUAAUCAAAGGUAGGAUUAAAUCAAUUAUUUAUUUAAUUCAAAUCUUACUUUGCCUGCAAGUUACCUAAACUAUAAAUAUGACCCAUUGACUUACAAAUUUCGUUCACCACAUUACCUAUAAGCAUAGGAACGAAAUUUCCCUCGUAUCUGCUCUCUCCUCCUCAUUCUAGGAUUUAAGGUUUUGGGUGUGACCUAUUAAAGGCAUCAUCCUUUUGGUGCUAGCUUUCCAAGACUAAGAAUCACAAGGGAUUGAAGUUUUUUGUUUACUACAACAAAUCAAAGGUAUGUAACCCUAAUCCUAUGUAUAUCUUGAUUAUGAUAGGUUUCCUUUAGGGUUCUUAAUGUUCAUAGUUUAUUUCUAUCAAUUAGAGAGAACAUAGAUUCUUUGUAGGUUGCAUGUGAACUUAAGGGUAAAGAUUUUUGCUUCAUAUGUAUUUUAGUAACCUAUAAAACCUUUUAGUGGCUCCAUCAUUUUAUAAAUAUCACAUAUGGCUUUAUUGCCACAACGUUGAAAGUGAUGGGUUUGAGCCAUAACAACAUUCCUAUGUGCACAUGCAAACCCUAAUGCUUGGAUCUAGGUUUCUCUAAUGAACAUGCUUUUCAUCCAAGACUUGUAAACCCUAGAUCUAUGGAAUGCAAUUCGAAAUUGACAAUACAAAAGAGAUCUAGAUGAUUACCUCUUCUUGAAAACUUGAAUCUUGUUAUCCUUGGGGCUUCGAGUCACAAAUGUCACACCUCUAAUGGCUUACAAACACCAAGAAGCAAGAUGAUGAUUUGAAGAGAGGUUGUAGGCACAAAAUCGGCUCUAGGAACUUCUUAGGGUUUCUGGUAGCCGAUUUCUGUAGCCCCUGGGUUCUUUAAAUACUUGAGCUACUAGGGUUACAACGUGAAACCCUAAUUGGAUUACUUAGGCCUUAAGCAGUCCAAGGAUAAUUCUAUAUACAGGCUUGGACGAAUUCAAGGAGUCCAUACACCAUAAUUUCGUCCACCCUUACAAUCCAAAAGGAUCCACAGCCCAAAACCAACUAUCACACAAUUGACAAUUCUAGUCCCUUUUAUUUAAUUAAUCUAUUUUAGCCACAUAAUUGAUUCUUAAUUAAUUCUUUUCUAAUAUUAAUUAAACUAUAUGAUUUCUCCUUUAAUAUAUUAAUCAUAUAAUAUAUUAAUAAAUCAUAAUAACCUCUUUAUUUAUAAAUCAUCCUAUCACGUUGCUUUGGUGAAGGCAACCCAAAAGGACCAUGCACAACCGGGUCAAGUACUUACCAAAUAUAGUUAUGGGCUUAUACACUAAUCCAACAGUCUCCCACUUGGAUAAGUCUACUAACUAUAAAUAUAAGCAUAAUCCUAUUAGCAAUCAUAGCUCUCAAAGACGUUGUUGAACUCUGACCUUAUCAAUAUUAUGUCCUUUAGAUAAGGGAUCGAAUGAUCCUCUGUUCUAGAUAUCAUGCGGACAAUCACAUGGAACAUAGUCAUACUUAUUGUCCAGCAGUUUGUUUCUCAAUCUCAGAUUCGUUUGACAUAGAACUUAAUUGAACACAUCAAUUCAGUCCUGACCGGGCCCGACAUAUAAGUCAAACUAAAUCAUCGAGGGGCCCUGAUAUCGCUUUUACCCUCUUAGGAUAAAAGGAACAGAUAAACUUCGACUUAUAUGCAUUUACUAUUCACUAAUCAAAUCAUACACAACAAUGCGUUUUAUGACAUCAAAUUACUGACGCGUUUUCGCAUUAUCAAUGCACAACCAAUCAGCAAACAAUAAACCAUAUAUUUAGGUUUAAGACCAUAUGAUAUUAUCAUCUUGUGAUCACUCGUGAUAAAUUCCAUGAAGUGAUUCCAACAAGCGUGGGAUUAUUCCAAUGCUCAAAACUUGAUCAUAAGCACUAAUGAACGUUGUAGCAAACCUUUUCUAUGUCUAAUACCAUUCAGACAAUCUACACACCUAUUCAUGACAAUCUUUAUUCAUACCUACUUCCAACAUAUGAACGACUGUGGACCAUUCGAAUAAUUCGAUUAUUCUUAAAAAAAUCAAUUAUUCAGGAAGUCAAAACAUGCAAAGUGAAACAAUAGAUAAACAAUUAACAUAAGACAGUAACUUUACUUAUAAAUAAUGCUCAUUUAUUUAAUCAUCAAAUGUCAAUUACAUUUAUCUAUUACACGUUUCUAAACUAUAUAAUCUAAACUAAUAUCGUCCUUCAGCCCAAUUCUCCUAGCAUGCUGCAAGUGCUUAACCCUACUCCGUCCCUUCAUAAGUGGAUCUACUGGGUUAUCCUCUGACGAUACCCUUUUCACUACGAGGAGUCCUUCUUCUACCCGAUGUUGAAUAAAGUGAUAUUUUAUGUCGAUAUGUCAAGAUCUACCAUGAUCCCUCGGUUGCUUGGUCAAGGAAACCGCUCCUUCAUUAUCACAGAAAAUUUCCAUGGGCUCCUGUAUGGAUAGCACAACUCCAAGGUCUACAAUGAAAUUCUUCAUCCAUAUUGUGUAACAACCAGAAGUUGUUCAUCGCUGAAAACCCAUUCUACCUGUAUAACUCGUCGGAAAUCGAAAUGUCCCGAUAUCGUUUUUGGGCUUAGUUAACUAAAAUUAUAUGUUAUUAUCAUUCAAUGAGGGUCCAAAUCAUUUAGGAACUCAUGAAUUUAGCCCAAAACAUUUAUUUCAUAAGUUUUAGAAAUAUCCUCGUUGGGUGACGGAAACUCAAUCGGGUGUGACCUAUAGCCUCGUUUAAGGCCGGUAUCGGGUAGAAUUCCACCGUGUCUAAGUGUUAGGAACUAUAUAAACAUGUUUAAGCACUCAUUUGAAGCUUUUUCCUUCUCUCUCUACUCUCUCUCUAACCUCUCUCCUAAAUCCAAAGAUUAAGUGUCCAAAACUCAAUUUUAAGGCCUCAAAUCCUUAAGGUACCUUCCUAGCCUUAAUCUAUAGCAUGUUUGGCUUCCAAAUUUGACAUUUAAUCAUGAAAUUGGACAAUAUAUGUGAGUUUACGGCCCAGGAGGCUGCCUAGGCCGUAAACACCAUUUUGAAGGGUUUUUAGCCCUUAAACUCCUUCCUAGACUCAAUUGGACUUUAGAUAUGGCUAAGGGACUUCAAGAUAUGGACUUAGAACAUUUAAAACUUUGAUUUUGAGGACUUUGAAGGAGUUUACGGCCAAGGCAUAAGCUUGGGCCGUAAACUCAUGUAAAUGGGGUUUUUCAUGCCUUUAAACCCUUCCAAAUCACUUCUAUGGCUUAGAUAUGAAUUAUAGGACCUUGGUUUUAGCAUUUGGACACUUGAAACAUGAUUUUUGAGGGAUUUAGAUGAGUUUACGGCCAAGGUGAGUGCUUGGGCCGUAAACUCCCCAAAACUUGACAUAAAUCCAAUUCUAAGGUGUUAGAAAGCCAUCCAACACCACCAAAAGCCUUGGAAUAAAUCAAGGGACCAACCAAAAAUACUUUAAGGGCCUUAAACACAUCAUUUGUGGGAUUUCUAAGAGUUUACGGCCAAGGCUUGUUCUUGGGCCGUAAACUCCAAAAUUUUUGGUGUUAGAAUGCAAACUAAACACCCCUAAGGCCCUUAGAUGAAUUUUAGAAGUCCUUUCAUGCAAGUUUUAGACCUUGAAACACCUUGUAGCACCAUAUAUUAGAGUUUACGGCCAUGAAGGGGGUUUCAUGGGCCGUAAACUCCAUAAAUCCCUCAUAUGUCACUUGCAAACUCAUUUCUAGGCUUGUGGGAAUUUUUAGAAUCACAUGUGAUUGAUUUUAACAACUUAAAAACACUAAAUCUUGGAGAAUUGAGAGUUUACGGCCAAAGAACCCAUGCCUAGGCCGUAAACUCCCUUAUGUGUUGUAAAUGAUGUUUUUAAAUUAAUCCAAGCCUUAAGAAAAAUUAAUCCAAGCAUUUCCAAGUGUCCAUAUCCAUUUAUAACCCAAAUUUGCACUCUAAACCACCCUACCAUGAGUUUACGGCCGUAAACUCAUGGGGAAUGGGUGUUUUGGACCUAAAACUCUUGUAUAAGUUUACUCAUGGGGAGUAAACUCAAGUCCCAAGUCCCUAGUGUCAUUUCACAUCCUUAAACGCCACCCGGGUCCCUCCAAACACUCGUAUCGGAGUGUUUUCGCGACUAGAAGCAAUUGUCCCUAUCCAACAAUCAAUCUAAGUCCUAAUUAGAUACAAAUGUGUAUCUUUACAUUAUAAUUAGGAACCUCGUGUAUUUACAAGCCCCGGAUCAACUCUUAGCAUCCAAAUCGUCAUACUUCUCGUCCGGUGAGUUCAUACCCCUACGCCUUUUUCACUGUUUUUAACUGUUUUCAGGGGGGAAUACAAGCAAACCAAAACUGUUUUCAAAUCAUAACAUCUAUGUAUUUCAAAUAAUAUCUGGCAAACUUAUAAACUCUUUUACUCCUUAUGUAUUAUGUUGAGCAUAAGGAAUGAUUUAUCAAUUACAACUAAAUGGAUUUUAGUUAAGAAAAUAACCAAACUAAUCAAAUUAUUAUGGGAAUAAUUUGGGGUUCUAUGUUUCUCUUUAUAUCAUGUACUGAUAUCUGUAUUAAGUUAUUAGAUAAACUAUGUCUGAUUCAGUUUAUCUCCGUAUCAUUCGAAUGUUUUGCCAGAUAGUUUCAUUGUAUGUAUCUAUUUUUCACUGUAUCAUGUCUUAAAGUCUUUGUAUGUUUGUUAUCGUAUGAGAAUCCUGUGAAUAGUUUAAUACUAGCUUGUGAGAUAGUCACUACCCUUUAUGGAUGAUCAAGUAAAUCCUCUCCGGAAGUGUAACCAGAGUCUCCUGGAGGGAGAGCGAGGAAUUUGUGAAUAGAUCUAUUCGGGACUGACAAUCCCACACCUUAACUGCUAGCUACAGUUAGGCGGGCACGCCUGGGGUGACAAAUUCUGGAUAUCAUUCGACGUCUGACUAACGUCAAGGAGGUCUCGUUGUCAUAUCAGCAUGGUUACCCGACUCACAAUACGUAUUAAUAUAAACUUAUUCACAGCUAGGAUUUGUUUAGAAUCUAUAUCUUGUUCGGGAUGGUAAUCCCAUGGUCUUGUAAUCUAUAUCUCGUUCGGGAUGGUAAUCCCAUGGUUUUAUGUCUAUACCUCGUUCGGGAUGAUAAUCCCAUGAUCUUGUGUCUAUAUUUCGUUCGGGAUGGCAAUCCCAUGGUUUUGAAACUAAAUCUUAUACGGGAUGAUAAUCCCAUGAUUUUAUCAAUCUAUCAUAUAUCUAGUUUCGGGAUAGUGAUCCCAUGGUUUAUCAAACUAUCUUAUAUCUAUUUUCGGGAUAGUGAUCCCAUGGUCUUUAUCGAAUUAUCUUAUAACUGGUUCGGGAUGUUAGUCCCAAGGUUUUCAAAAUACUUUCUAUCUACAGUUCGUCUAAAUUAUAGUUUUGUAUAUUAAACUAUACUAUGUGUUAUUCAAUCAAUCUUGCAUUUAGGAAAAUAUGGGAUUUUCCUGGGGUUAACUUAUAACUUGUAACAGAACUGUAACGAAAGAUAACUUAACUACUUUACAUAAGAAAAUAUGGGAUUUUCUUGGAUAUCAAAUCUUUUCAGAAAACUAAAGGAAACCGAUACAUUUUCACAAAACAAAACCGCUUAUGAACUCACCAGCUUUAUGCUGAUUUUCAAACUGCUUGUAUUCUCAGGUCCAAGUUAGACAGGUACCCGGCAAUAUCUUUUGGUGAAGAUGGAGUGCUCCGAAGACUCGUCUCUUUUGUUCAUAUGAUAUAUGUAUAACUUUGUACAAUUUACUUUUGAACCAAAUGUAAACUUUCAUAUAUAUGUAAUGUAAUGGUUGUUUACUGUGAUUACUAUGUACAUUGGAUUUGAUACACAACAUGGAGUCAGCCCCGGGAACGUUUCCGCCUUUGGUUUUCGGGGUGUGACAUAUUGCCUCAUUUGAUGCUUCGCUCGCUGCAACGUACUCUGAUUCGCAUGUUGAGUCAGCUACGGUUUCUUUCUUGGAACUUUUCAAGUCACUGCUCCUCCAUUAAGGGUAAAGACCCAGCCCAACUGCGAACAGUAGUUGUCCCUGUCGGUCUGAAAACUGGCGUCACUAUACCCUCGCACUUUUAAGUCAUCACUCCCAUCGAGGACUAGAAACCAUUCCUUGGUCCUCCGAAGGUACCUAAUAAUAUUCUUGACUGCGGUCCAAUGUGCUUUUCCAGGGUUCCUUUGAUAUCUGCUGACCAUGCUCAAAGCGAAGGCCACAUCAGGGCGAGUACAAGUCAUAGCGUACAUGAUCGAGCCAACUGCGGAAGCGUAAGGUACUCGGCUCAUCUCUGUCAUAUUUCAUAAUCAUGAAAUGCAGCAAUGUCCAGCAUGUAACACCCAUAAAUUUCCAACCAAUUUAAACUUAUCAAAAACAAUCCAAAUCCAUUAAUUAUUACAAAAAGGUUUUCAAUUAGUUUAUUAUCAGUGUAUCCCAUAAAUAUCAACAUAAAAAUGAGGAGCGGUUCGAUCACGCCUUUGCCUAGCCACGAUCUUCGGAGGUACCUGAAACAGUACACUGAAACUGUAAGCCCGAAAGCUUAGUGAGUUACCCCCAAAAUACCAACCUCGUAUAACCAUAAUCAUAUCAUAUCACAAUACAGAACAACCAUGCAUAUCGAGUCUACAGUGUCACUGGUCCGCCCGCACUGGGCCUUCAAUCCACCUGGUACACCCUCUGAGUCAAUAUUCUGACUGGUUCGCCCACAUCGGGCCUUCAGUCUGUCUGGUCCACUCUCCGAGCAUCAGCACGUCUGGACCACCCUCUUGGGGCCUUCAGCCUAUCCGGUCCGUCGUGGGUAUGUUGGCCUACAACACAAAGCAAGACCCGCCUCAACCCAAACCCCAAUCAACAUCCACAUGCACAUAAAUAGAUAAUCACAUAACAAUCCUUAACUAAACAAACCAGUCUAGCAGAUCAUACGACAUAACAACAUCCUAACCAGGAUACCGACCUAACCGGCCACUAACAUAACAUUAUCCUAUAUACCAGGAUACUGACGUAAACCAGGUCACUAACAUAAUACCAUCCUAAUUACCAUGAUGCAGAUCUAGCAAAUCAAUAACUUAUCAAACAAAUACCCGGAUUCCAAUCCGAUAAAGGGUCGGCCUUAAUUCCUUAGACCCUGUUGAUAUACUGAGGAUAACUCACCUUACAAAGUCGAGCUUGAAGAGAUAAGAUCAAAACUCCCGAUCACCGCCACAAACUCCACCACCUAACACUUCAAUGAAACCAUAACCAUCAAUGCCCAAAAUACCAUAAUACCCUUGGAAGUCAAACUAGUAAACUCUUGGUCAAAGACACAGUCCUGGUCAAAGUCAACCUUCCGGGUUGACCCUACUCGCCGAGUCAUACUAAUGACUCACCGAGUUCAUGAACUCAGAAUCCCACCAUUCACGACUCGACUCGCCGAGUCACCCAAUGACUCGCUGAGUCCUUCAAUCCGAGUCCUAGCCUGCCCAACUCACUGAGUCCACUCGACUCACUGAUUCACAUCGUAACCAGAUGGGAUAGGGUUUGCGACCCAACUCAUCGAGUCCAAGAACAGACUCGCCGAGUUCACUUAAGUCAUCCCUAUUCAGACGGUUUCAGACCAUUUCACUGCUUCCAACUCAUAGAUCUAGACUACUAGGGCUAGUUUCAUACGUAAAGUUUCAAACUUUACAUGCAUGCAAAGCAAUAUUGGCUAAAUACAAGCUAGAAGGAAGGUUUAAGACAAGUACACCCUCAUACAUGCCUAAGGCCUGAUGCUAUAUGCUUUAAUUGAUCAAAGCCAACCUAGAUUUGAAGUUGUAACCUCAGAUCUAGUCUCUAAACCCGAAAUGGCUCUCAAACAAGCUAAGAAGCCCCAAAUCAACUUCCAUGGAUGAAGCUAGAAAGAAAUAGCUUAAGGUAAUGACCUCUUACCACAGAGAUCUGCCCAAUAUGAAGUAGAUCCCAGAUCCACACGAAUUCCUUGAUGAUAGCCUCUUAAUCCACAAGCUCCUUUCACCAAUUUCCUCUUCCAAGCUCAAAUCUCCUCAACAAUGGAGGCUCACACGAUUCUAGGGUUUACUGGCACUCAAAGGGAAAUAAGGAGGCUGAGGACAUAAAUUCCUUUAAAUAGGGUGCAAACCCUAAAAUUUAGGGUUUCUCUUCAUAGCACCGACUUGUCGAGUCCAGCCGCUGAUCUCGGAGAGUCGGGUCACUUAUCACGUGCCCAACACCCGCUCUGACUCGAUGAGUUAAGGCCCCUACUCGCUGAGUCCACUCCAUAUUUACACCAAGCACCACUGAACUCUUGCUUCUGAACCUGGGAUGUUAGACAUCAUCACCCUAAUAGACUUUAUUUUCACAACUGGUGAGAAGGUCUCAUGAUAGUUAACUCCGGGAGUUUGAGUAAAGCCCUUCGCAACCAAUCGCGCCUUAUAUGUGUGCACAUGACCAUCCAUGUUGGUUUUCUUCUUGAAGAUCCAUUUGCACCCGACCAUCUUACGUCUGGGCACAUGGUCAACCAAAUUCCAAACUUGGUUGUCAUACAUGGACUGAAUCUCGCUGUCGAUCGCCUCUUUCAAUUUUACAGACUCUGGGCGUGCCAUGCCUUCCUUAUAGCUGUUAGGUUCAUCCAAAUUCACUAGUGUACUAUCACUAAUGAACAUAUCCCCUUCCAUAGUAAUAUGAAAACCAUAAAACUGGGGUUGAACCCUAACUCUUUCGGAACGUCUAAGAGGUAAGGACUCGUCAAUUGGUUCAACUGGAGUUUCCUCCUCGGGUUCAGAGCCAGCGUUAGAGGUUCCUUCUGUUGGGUUUUGAGCAUUCUAACACUCCUAAGUGUACAUGCAACCCUAAAUACCUUGGAUCUAUGUUUUCUCUAAUAUACAAUCAAAUAUGAACUUUCCAAGGUAUUCAUCCUAACUAGCAUAAUAACAUUGAUUCAUAUGAAUAUAUCAAGUUAGAAUUACAUACCUCUUUGAUGUAGAAUGUCUUCAUGAAGCUUGAGUGCCUAGUGCCCCAAGUGUGACACCUCAAAUGGAAUCACAAUCAUCAAAACACUUGGAAUGACUUGAGAGAAUUCUACACUCUUCAAAAUCGGCUAGCCCUUUCUUCACUAUCACUAGUGGCCGAUUUUUCCUCAAUAAUAAGAUGCUUAUAUAGUUACACAAUUAGGGUAAACUCUUAAUUGUCAUGGCUUUCCAUUUCCUUGGAUCCAUGGGUACAAAUACACCAUGGAGCAUCCAUGGACCAUCCUAUGGGUUUUAGCCCAACUUGAUUAUCCAUGGAGCAUUAGCCCACUAUACAAGUAUGGAUGAUUUACACAAUCAACCCAUAUAUUUAAUUAGUCUUCUUUUGAUCACUUAAUUAAUCCUAGAUUAAUUCUUGAUCAAUACUAAUUAAAUAAUCUUAUUAAUAUAUUAGAACUUAUAAUAUAUUAGUAAACCUUAAGUGUUAUUUCUCUCAUUUUAGUCUAUCCAAAUGCAUGAUGCCAUGCAACCCAAAUAGACCAUGCCAGGUCGAGUCAAGUCUUACCAAUUAUAGUUAUCGACUUAGACAUUAAUCCAACAAUCUCCCAAUUAGAUAAGUCUAAAACUAUUAUUGUGUAUGACUUCAAGAACCGAUCAGUAAUCGUAGCUCUCAAAAGCUUCUGUCGAACUCUGACCUUGUCGAUGAACUCUGACCUUUGUCAAUGACUUGUCCAUUAGAUAAGGGAUCAUAUAUUCCUCCAUUGUAGAUAUCAUAUGGAAUGAGACAUGGAUUAUAAUCAUUCUCUCUGUCCAUUUGUUGUUUCCCGAUUUCCGAUUUAUGACGACUGACUAAUUGAACAAAUCAAAUCAGUCCUGGCCCGGCCGAGCACUUCCAUUUGUCAUCAUCAAAUCAUCGAGGGGCCCACAGAUAUCGCUUUUAUCCCGAAGGUAAAAGGAACGGAUAAACUUCGACUCAUAUGGCUUGUUCUACUACUUGUUGAAUCAUACACAAAGGCACGUUUUAUAGCACCGAGUUACCAAAUGCGUUUUCGUGCAAUCAAUGUACAACCAACUCAUAGUAACAACUCAUAUCUCUAGGUUUGAAGAAUAUAAGAUAUUGUCAUCUAAUGAUCACUCGUGAUAAAAUCCAUGAAGUGAUUCCAAAGAGCGCGGGUUGAAUCUCAGAACUUAUGAGCACUCAUGAGUGUGGUAGCACCAUCUUGUCCAACAUCUUAGACCUCUACAUGCCCAACCCAUGACAGUCUUGAUUCAUAUCUACUUCCAACAUAUGAAUGAAAGUGGAUGGUUUGAAUAACUUAGUCAUUCAAGAAGAAUGACCUAGUUUAUUCGGGAAGUCAAAACAUGCAAAGUGAAACACAAUAAUAAUUGAAUCCAAUAUGGUAUCAACCCUUUGAACAUAAAUAAAACACCUUUUAUUUAUCACCAUAUGAUUACACAUUAUUCAUUGUAUACUGUUUCAGCUAUCAACUUUAUUCUUGAAUUUAAAACAAUAGUUGUCCCAUGCUCCAAGCAUGUACACUAUGUUUUCAAAACACUAGUCAUGCCAUACACCAAGUAUGCACACUAUGUUUGUCUAUGAUCUUUACAUUGUGAAAUAAACCAAUUGAACCAUGAUUCUAAUUUCACACUCCCAAAUCCUUAUCAUUUAUCAAAAUCUGUUAGAUUUUAAACUUAUAUGAAUUGGUCCUCUUGUAACGAUUAUGCACAAAGUUACAAAGAUUUGUCAACAAGCAUUAUAGAGUAUUCCAAUGGAGAUCAACUCCAUGGAACCGAACUCUCAUAUUCAAAGUUCAUUGCCUUUGAACAUUCUUAUUGCAUUAAGUUUCCUAAUCUUACACAGAUAACUUCCACCUAUGGAGGCAACUCCAUAUUCCCAUUUUGACUACCCCUUCUGAACAAGAAUUGCCUCUUUUCAGAUUAGGUCAAUAUGGUCCUUCCAAUGUUAACACUAUACUUCCAACUGUCCUUGAGCAACCAAUCCUCGGUAAAACCUUAGAUUGUCCUUGACAAUUGCUUAAUCAUUUUAGUCAUAUCCAGUUCUAGACCUUUUCCCUUCUUAAUGCCCUAGGCAUUUGGAAAAUUUUAGAAAGGAUGAAUAUAGCACAUGUAAUCGAUCCUAUAUCUGAAGCAUAUGGGACACGAUUCAUGAUGUCUCACAUAAAGACUAAACUAGUCUUUUGCUAUAAUAUUUCCAUUUCAAUUUGCCAAGUUCUCAUAAUUCAGAUUAUGAAAAAGGAUGUCGUAAUCAUAAUCGAAUUUUAGAACGCAAAUAAUGGACCCAUAUAUAGAGUUUUCUUAUGUUGAGCCAUUCCAACAUAACAUUCAUAUAUAUAUACUUGACUAGCUUUGAUUAAAAUCUCACGAUCUAAGCUUAUAGAUUUGAGAUGAAGUAUAAUUUCCUCUCCCUUAAUUAUAGCAAAACUACUUUUUCCCAAUUGAAACCUUUUGUUUUCUAUAAUUAACAUUGCUAACUUGCAACCUUUAUCAUAAUUAUGAUGCUCC